CGCCGGCAGCUCUGACACCGAGGGAGGGGGCGGCGGGCCGGCCUCUCCUGGGACCGGGCGAGAGCAGGCUCUCGCUACAGCAGAGCUGCAAAAAUGAGGCCCCCUCUGCAGGAUGAAACAUAGGAAAAUAUUCAAAUACCAAAGUAACUAUGGAAAUGGGAGGAACAAAGAAGAAUUCUUGAAAGUCUCUGAGUAAAGAUAAAAGCAAAACAGAAAAAAGGUCUCACAGCAAGGGGCCUGUGACAGAUCUUCAAAUCAGGAAGUCAGAGAAGAUGAAGUGGAGCAGAGCCAAAUCUCCACAUCCAGGGAGAUGGCCUGUAGAUUACAACUACCCUGUUAACUUUCAGGUGCUCACACAGGAGAACAGAACUGGAAACAUAAAAACUGUCUUCUUGGCAUGUGUACUCAUGAGGAACUUCAGGAUUAGGAUACUGCAGGCAUGUGGAGCAAGUUGGCAGGGUGUUAGGCCAUGGCAACACCUCUACCUUUUUGCCCUUUGCGAUUCAGUCGCUUAGACAUGUGUCUGCUACUAAUUCAAUGACAUAUAAAAAGUACUGAAUUUCUGAAAGACUUUUCUGUGUGCUGUAAAUCUUGUGAUAAUAUUUAUCACUAGCUCAAGUACUGAUCCCUAGUUCAAAGGAAAUUUACAUUUCAACUCAGUAAGAUAGGUUUUUAUCUUAAAUUUUGGUAACGGAGGGCCUAAAGAGAAAUAAGGAAAUGAAAAAAAAGUGUAAUUACCUUGUUUAUUUAGGUCUGUGACAUCCUCUCAAUAACUCAGCUGUGACAAUGGGCCCAAGGGCUCAGUGAUUGUUGGUAGUAGUCAUCGUUCCAGGUGUCUCUACAAUGCAGGGUUCCUCUUUUCUGGGGAGCUGCCGUCAUGCACAGACAUGUCCUCUGCUGGCCUUUGCCCUAGCUGUGUCUCCAUUAGCCAUCUUUGUUCCCUGGACCAUGACUAAUUGGUUCAGGCCUGUUAUCUCACCUAAGCUGGGCCAAUCAGUUUGUCUCUUUUGUGUACUGAAAGUGUUGCAAGAAGAGAAAUAGUAUAAUUUGAAAGUUGUUGGUAGCUGAGACACAUUGUAAUACUCUGGAAAGAAGGCCCACAACCUCCUGCAGAGAAAACCCCCAAGUUCCUACCUUUUCUGAUCCAUCUUCCUUUGAUCCUGUAAGUGAUUCUAGUAUUCUUCCAUACAUUCUCUGUUUUGGUCGAAACUAGUAUAGUUGUUACUUUUUAUCAAGAGAAACUUACCUGACAGAGGACACCCACAUCCUUAGCUAAAUAGUUAGAAGAAAAUGGUUUAUCUGGGUGCCAUUUCAUUUAUUCAUUCAUUCAUUCAUUCAUUCAUUUGACAGUCAUUUAUUGAAAGCCUAUUACAUAUCAAUUACAGAGAUAGGCAUAUGAAUAAGAUAGAAGGAGGUGUGGGGAGACAGUCACAUCAACAUAUAAUUACACUAAGUUGUGAUAAUGCUCUAGUAGAGAUACUUGAAAAGUGAUGUAGGAGUCUAGAUAAGGGUACGAAUGAACUCUAUGUGUAGGCUGGGAAGCGGGUUAAUCAGCUUGGACAAGGAUGUAAGCGAAGAACUAAAUCAAAGCUACACAGAAAAUAUAAUCUCAUUACAUUACAGUGGCAGCAAAUGAAGAAUUUCUGCAUAGAAACUGAAGACCAGCUGUUCUCAAUAUUGACUCAGCUCUGCAGAGUGAAAACUGAUUUGAACAGCAGCAUGAGAGAUUUAGAUUAUAGAUGGAAGAAUUUCCUGACAGUGAGAGUUGUUAAUGUUGGGAGGUUGUCUACUCUGGAGGUUUU